rnacentral:rRNA from 1 species
GCACAAGCGGAGGAGCAUGUGGCUUAAUUCGAUGCAACGCGAAGAACCUUACCAGGGCUUGACAUAUACCUGCAAGCCCCCUGAAAGGGGGGAAUCCUUCGAGGGUGGUAUACAGGUGCUGCAUGGCUGUCGUCAGUUCGUGCCGUGAGGUGUUUGGUUAAGUCCAGUAACGAACGCAACCCUUGUGGUUAGUUGCCACCGUCGGUGAUGAGCCGGCGAGCACUCUAGCCAGACUGCCCGUACAAGCGGGAGGAAGGUGGGGAUGACGUCAAGUCAGUAUGGCCCUUACGCCCUGGGCUGCACACGUGCUACAAUGGUAGGUAUAGAGGGAUGCAAGACCGCGAGGUGGAGCAAAUCCCCAAAACCUGCCCCAGUUCGGAUUGGAGUCUGCAACUCGACUCCAUGAAGUUGGAUUCGCUAGUAAAGGCGUAUCAGCUACGACGCCUGUAAU